UGGGGAAUUUUGGACAAUGGGGGAAACCCUGAUCCAGCCAUCCCGCGUGUGCGAUGAAGGCCUUCGGGUUGUAAAGCACUUUUGGCAGGAAAGAAACGUCGCGGGUUAAUACCCCGCGGAACUGACGGUACCUGCAGAAUAAGCACCGGCUAACUACGUGCCAGCAGCCGCGGUAAUACGUAGGGUGCAAGCGUUAAUCGGAAUUACUGGGCGUAAAGCGUGCGCAGGCGGUUCGGAAAGAAAAGAUGUGAAAUCCCAGAGCUUAACUUUGGAACUGCAUUUUUAACUACCGGGCUAGAGUGUGUCAGAGGGAGGUGGAAUUCCGCGUGUAGCAGUGAAAUGCGUAGAUAUGCGGAGGAAACACCGAUGGCGAAGGCAGCCUCCUGGGAUAACACUGACGCUCAUGCACGAAAAGCGUGGGGAGCAAAACAGGAUUAGAUACCCUGGUAGUCCACGCCCUAAAACGAUGUCAAACUAGCUGUUGGGGUCUUCGGACCUUGGUAGCGCAGCUAACGCGUGAAGUUGACCGCCUGGGGAGUACGGUCGCAAGAUUAAAAACUCAAAAGGAAAUUGAC
rnacentral:rRNA from 1 species